GGGCCGGUAGCUCAGGUGGUUAGAGCGCACGCCUGAUAAGCGUGAGGUCGGAGGUUCAAGUCCUCCUCGGCCCACCA
rnacentral:tRNA from 53 species